rnacentral:rRNA from 1 species
GUCGAGCGGUAGCACAGAGAGCUUGCUCUCGGGUGACGAGCGGCGGACGGGUGAGUAAUGUCUGGGAAACUGCCUGAUGGAGGGGGAUAACUACUGGAAACGGUAGCUAAUACCGCAUAAYGUCGCAAGACCAAAGUGGGGGACCUUCGGGCCUCAUGCCAUCAGAUGUGCCCAGAUGGGAUUAGCUAGUAGGUGGGGUAACGGCUCACCUAGGCGACGAUCCCUAGCUGGUCUGAGAGGAUGACCAGCCACACUGGAACUGAGACACGGUCCAGACUCCUACGGGAGGCAGCAGUGGGGAAUAUUGCACAAUGGGCGCAAGCCUGAUGCAGCCAUGCCGCGUGUAUGAAGAAGGCCUUCGGGUUGUAAAGUACUUUCAGCGGGGAGGAAGGCGAUAAGGUUAAUAACCUUGUCGAUUGACGUUACCCGCAGAAGAAGCACCGGCUAACUCCGUGCCAGCAGCCGCGGUAAUACGGAGGGUGCAAGCGUUAAUCGGAAUUACUGGGCGUAAAGCGCACGCAGGCGGUCUGUCAAGUCGGAUGUGAAAUCCCCGGGCUCAACCUGGGAACUGCAUUCGAAACUGGCAGGCUAGAGUCUUGUAGAGGGGGGUAGAAUUCCAGGUGUAGCGGUGAAAUGCGUAGAGAUCUGGAGGAAUACCGGUGGCGAAGGCGGCCCCCUGGACAAAGACUGACGCUCAGGUGCGAAAGCGUGGGGAGCAAACAGGAUUAGAUACCCUGGUAGUCCACGCCGUAAACGAUGUCGAUUUGGAGGUUGUGCCCUUGAGGCGUGGCUUCCGGAGCUAACGCGUUAAAUCGACCGCCUGGGGAGUACGGCCGCAAGGUUAAAACUCAAAUGAAUUGACGGGGGCCCGCACAAGCGGUGGAGCAUGUGGUUUAAUUCGAUGCAACGCGAAGAACCUUACCUGGUCUUGACAUCCACAGAACUUGCCAGAGAUGCCUUGGUGCCUUCGGGAACUGUGAGACAGGUGCUGCAUGGCUGUCGUCAGCUCGUGUUGUGAAAUGUUGGGUUAAGUCCCGCAACGAGCGCAACCCUUAUCCUUUGUUGCCAGCGG